rnacentral:rRNA from 1 species
CUACGGGCUGCAGCAGUGGGGAAUAUUGCACAAUGGAGGAAACUCUGAUGCAGCAACGCCGCGUGGAGGAUGACACUUUUCGGAGCGUAAACUCCUUUUAUAUAGGAAGAAGAUGACGGUACUAUAUGAAUAAGCGCCGGCUAACUCCGUGCCAGCAGCCGCGGUAAUACGGAGGGCGCAAGCGUUACUCGGAAUCACUGGGCGUAAAGAGCGUGUAGGCGGAUUAAAAAGUCAGGAGUGAAAUCCUAUAGCUUAACUAUAGAACUGCUUCUGAAACUCUUAAUCUAGAAUAUGGGAGAGGUAGAUGGAAUUUCUGGUGUAGGGGUAAAAUCCGUAGAGAUCAGAAGGAAUACCGAAUGCGAAGGCGAUCUACUAGAACAUUAUUGACGCUGAGACGCGAAAGCGUGGGGAGCAAACAGGAUUAGAUACCCGCGUAGUC